rnacentral:lncRNA from 1 species
GGAGACAGAUUAUGUUCCAAUAUAAGCUAGUAACUUUGCAAACAAGUCAAUUAUGAACCAAAUGUUCUAGGAAUUUAUGCUACAAUAUAAUGAAAACAAUUAGGUUUUCGAGUUAUAAAAAACUUUAGCAAUAUUGUAAAUAGGUGCAGUAUGUGGGUGGUCAAGGAACCUCAUAGUGCAUAUGCAUUACUGCAUAUAUGCAUAAUAUUCUAAACAUUUUAAAAAAAUAUGAAUAUAUUGUAUAUAAUGCUAAUAGCAAUAAUAUAUAGUAAUUAGUGAUUUCUACUUAAUACUUGAUUCUUGCUAGUAAUAAUUAUAGCAUAAUUAACAUAUAAACAUUAUUAUAUACAUGUACUUGGCCUACUUGAAACCCACAUUCAACCCAACCAGGAGGUUGCACCCAGGAAGGAAUGUUUACAUCCAAUUUUCUUCGCAUCAGGAGCUGACUACAGCAGACCAGAACUCUCAAGGACGGAGGGGAGAUCAGGAUUCACAACCCAACCGAAUCCUCUUGGUUACAAUUCAUCACAUGCUUUAUCCUAUAACAGUGGAAGUUCUGCAUCAAGUGUUUUCUCCUCAUGGAUUUGUGGAGAAGAUCGUUACAUUUCAGAAGUCAGCUGGUUUUCAAGCCCUUAUCCAAUAUCAAUCACGACAGAGUGCUCUGCAAGCAAGUACUGCUUUGCAAGGGCGCAAUAUAUAUGAUGGUUGCUGUCAGCUAGAUAUACAGUUUUCGAAUCUCAAUGAGUUGCAAGUUAAUUACAACAAUGAGCGCUCUAGAGAUUUCACAAAUCCAUCAUUACCUACCGAACAGAGAGGAAGAUCAUCACAGUCUGGAUAUGGUGAUGCUGGGGGUCUGUACGCACUCCAACCUGGAGCAAGAGUUGCAUUUGCACAGAUGGGCAAUGCUGCGGCAAUUGCAGCUGCAUUUGGUGGUGGUUUGCCUCCUGGAAUAAGUGGUACUAAUGACAGGUGCACAAUCUUAGUCACUAAUUUGAAUCCUGAUCAAAUUGAUGAGGAUAAGCUUUUUAAUUUAUUUUCAAUAUAUGGCAACAUCAUGAGAAUCAAGCUACUGCGCAAUAAACCAGAUCAUGCACUUGUUCAAAUGGCGGACGGAUUUCAAGCUGAAUUGGCUGUACAUUUCUUGAUCUUGUUUGAAUGAGCCUACAUAAACUGAUCAUAUGUAUAUGGUUGCACAAUGCUAAAAGGGCAAUAUAUGCCGUUACAUAAUGAUAAGUAGGCUGCAUAUUCAACUAUAAAUGCCAAUCCUACUACGUAUAUGUCUACAAAGUAGUAAUCAAACUGUCUUUUUAGUCCAUAUUUGGCUCGAACGUAUACAACAUAAACUAGCCAUUUAUAGGCUUUAUGGUGUAGCCAGUGGAUCGCGCACGCAUAGGCAGUUACCACAUUUUAAAGCAAUAAAAUUUAUAGUCAUGUUAGUCGUCAACCUAAAGAAAACAACACUGCAACGAGUUCUAGAUUUUUAUGCUUAAGAAUGACGUAAUUCUUCCUUCGAAACUCUAAAAAUGUUAUUCAAAUUGGUGCUGCCUUGCAUUCUAAUAUGAAUUCCUAGUUUUUGGUUAGUCACAUAUAUCAAUUGCUUGUUAUUAGAUAACAAAGAUGCUGGAAUUUCUGUUAUAAGUACUUGAAAAAUCUCAUAAAGGGGAUUGUUCUGUGAAAAUCAAUGUCAAAACAAAAAUAAAUGAAAGAAUUAAUUCUUUACAAUGUUUUCAUCGAUAAACCUCUCCUUUUUAUCUCAAAGAUCUUAAGCCAUAUGAUUGGUAAUACCACAUAAAUGUGCACUUUAUUACUGUUAUUUUAGUAACUUAUGCAGGCUAUCAUGUGCCAGGACUUCUUUUGACCCCAAAUCCAACUAAAAACUUUGGGUGCCAGUUCAAACUACAAAUAAAAAAUAAGUGAAGCUUUAGGCAUCUUGCUCACACGUCACAUGUGGAGACCCAUUUAAACACAGAUUUUUUGAAGGCAUUUUCUGAUAGAAUUCUUAUUUGUCUGUGGGUUUUCUUUUGAGGUCCUUACUGUGGUUUCCUUUUGAAAAUUUCAAUCCAGCAUUUUCCUUUCUUAGAUACUAUAGGUUGCCCUUUUUUUGGUACUUAAAUAUUCAUUCUUGUCAACAAAUAAUGUUUUGAUUUGAUUUAAUUUGCUACGAGUGAAUGAUAACCAUAAUCUUAACCAUUGAUUGUUGUCCCAACUAUUUGGAGUUGGCUUUAUGAAUUCUCAUUUUCCAAGCACUCCUCUUCAGGCUGCCUUUGAUAUGGCAACACACUCUUCCCUAUCCUUUUUAACUUCCACAUAUGUUACCCUAGGUUUUCCCUCCUCUUCCUAAGUGUUCUUAUUCUUUAGUGCAUGUUAAGAUGCCUCUC